GAGUUUAAAGAAGGUGGAGGAGAAGUGGUUGAACGCUUAGGCACGGGAGAUGAAGGUAUGACCAAUGGUUGAGUCAUGGCAUGUGAAGGAGGGGACACAGGUUGGGUUACUAGUGGAGGGUUAGUGGUUACAGCAAGGGGGUUAGUAGAAGAGGAUAGUACAGCGAAAGGGUUAGCUAAGACAAGCUGAGAGGGAUUACGGGAUGGAGACGUGCAGUCCAUAGGAGUGGGGGAAGGCGAACUUUCAGUUGGUGGUAAGGUUUCUGGGGCAGGUUCGAUUACAGGAGAUGGUUGAGUAGACCCAAUAGGAGCCUCAGUACAGACAGCAACAGGCCCAGCUUGAGGACCCUCUUCGGAAGUGAGAGCAGGAGGGUGGAAUCCAUGGAUACUCAACUGAAAUUGUGAUAACCUCUCCACUAUCACGGACUAUCUCCACUGAGGAAGGGAGAGGUCAAAGGGCAUUCCUUUUAGAUGAGCCCAAAUCGGCACUGCGUUUAGAUCAGUACUGACACCACCAGAAGCGUUCCAUUGCGCCACCAAA